CAGGCGCUGUGCCAGUGAACUAAAUCCCCAGCCCCCAACAGAGCCAGCCAUCUAUAUCAUUAUGAAGCAGGCCAUUGGUAGUGGAUACCCCUGGCCUCUCCUCGCUACAACUUUAAACCCCCAUCCUUUCAGACAUUGUGAUUCCUCCUUCCUCUUCUUAUCAAGGUUGGAUGACUAAGGUGUAUAUCCUGAAAUGUGAAGAUGGACCAUUGGAGCCAGGAGCCAAGGAUUGUGGCUGCUUCUAGAAACCGGA